rnacentral:rRNA from 1 species
AAUGAACGCUGGCGGCGUGCUUAACACAUACAAGUUGAACGUGAAAGUCCUUCGGGAUGAGUAAAGUAGCGAACGGGUGAGUAAUACAUAAGAAUCUACCUCUUAGAGGGGGAUACCCUAGAGAAAUUUAGGUUAAUACCGCGUAAUCCCAGAGAUGGGCAAAGGUGGCCUCAUGCUACCGCUGAGAGAUGAGCUUGUGGACUAUUAGCUAGUUGGUGGGGUAAAGGCCUACCAAGGCGAAGAUGGUUAACCGGCCUGAGAGGGUGUACGGUCACAAUGGGACUGAGAUACGGCCCAUACUCCUACGGGAGGCAGCAGUGGGGAAUAUUGCACAAUGGGCGCAAGCCUGAUGCAGCGACGCCGCGUGAAGGAUGAAGGCUUUCGAGUCGUAAACUUCUGUUAAGUGGGAAGAAAUGCGCAUGGUUAAUACCCAUGUGAGCUGACGGUACACCUAGAGAAAGCACCGGCUAACUUCGUGCCAGCAG